rnacentral:tRNA from 2 species
GCCGAGAUGGUGGAAUUGGUAGACACGUCAGACUCAAAAUCUGGUGCCGGCAACGGUGUGAGGGUUCGAGUCCCUCUCUCGGUA